rnacentral:rRNA from 1 species
GUGCCAGCAGCCGCGGUAAUACGUAGGUGGCAAGCGUUGUCCGGAUUUACUGGGCGUAAAGGGCUUGUAGGCGGUUCGUUAAGUCCGGUGUGAAAUCUCCCGGCUCAACUGGGAGGGGUCAUCGGAUACUGGCGGACUUGAGGUGGGCAGAGGAAAGCAGAAUUCCCGGUGUAGCGGUGAAAUGCGUAGAUAUCGGGAGGAAUACCAGUGGCGAAGGCGGCUUUCUGGGCCUAUCCUGACGCUGAGGAGCGAAAGCGUGGGGAGCAAACCGGAUUAGAAACCCGCGUAGUCC